UCCCUCUCAGGAUGGCACCUGGAGUGUUUUCAGUCCUCUAUCAGUCUCGGCUAUGGGAGGGAGACUCAAGCAGAAGAAUAUCCAUUCCAUUCCUAGCUUGGGCAGUGGCUAGUGAGUGGAAGGUGAUCUGCUACAAGU